rnacentral:rRNA from 1 species
UGUAUUCGAUAAGUCAUAACGACUCUCGGCAACGGAUAUCUCGGCUCUCGCAUCGAUGAAGAACGUAGCAAAAUGCGAUACGUGGUGUGAAUUGCAGGAUCCCGUGAACCAUCGAGUUUUUGAACGCAAGUUGCGCCCGAAGCCUUUAGGUCGA